CAAAAAACGAACGUACAAAGAACAGAAGUUGAGAUUUUUCAGAGAAAAAGAUUAUUUAUCUAAGUAAAUAAACUUAUUAUCGUAUUUCUGCUAAAAUGUAAUUUCCAACACAAUUACUCAUCGAAUUUUCGCCAUUGAAAACAUUUUAUCGCCAACGUUUACACCCUAUAAAUAGUGGUAUCUUGGCCGGUGAAAUUUAGAAAGAAUUAACCAUCGUUUGAUUCGAGUCAAUCAUUGUCGCGAUUUACCAUAUAAAAUAUCUACGUUUAUUUCGUUCAACUGUUGCGUUGUCCAGAACUAUACAGAAUCUCGAAAUGGAAUUCUUAUACGAAAAAUCGUUAUUAUGCAACAUGCCUGACCCAGACCCACAACCAGAACCGGAACCGGAACCGGAACCAGAACCGGCACCAUCGGAAUAACCAGCUAACGAAAAAUGUCGAAAAUAUUUUUUCAAAGUCAACUAAACAAUAAGAUAGUUAAUAUGUAGGCUAUAAAAAUGUUUAUAGCAGAAUACGAUCAUUAUGUAUUGCUUGCCUUAUUUAAACAUCACAUCAGUUGUAUGAUAUUAUUUAAUUCACAUUUGAGUCAUUUCGACAAAUAAAUUCAUUUUGUUUGUUUAACAAAAUA